CAUCGCCCAGAUGCAGAAGCCGAGGGUAAUCCUUCUUUUCUAAAAAAAAGUAGCCGUUUGUACUAAAAUAGAAAAAGGAGUGAACAUAACAAAUACCAAAAUUAUAUAAUCUAAAAAGAUACCAAGCAGCAAACCUGAGGUGUCAAUGCAAAGAGCAGCAGGUUGACCAACAACUGGACCAUCAAAUGGAGCCGAAGACUCUCCUAAAAAAGGGGGGAACCAUGAGUGCAGGCUCGUUUUGAAAAACCAAAAUGAAUUUGUACAGCGUGUUUUUUCUUGAAUUUAUGAUUUCUUUUCUAAAUAGUCACAGUGGUGUACAGAAAAAGACAGAAACCUAUUCCUAAAAUGAGCCGUCUUGUUGUUGGGCCGAUUUUUUUCCGUACAGUCUACAAAUCACAAAAAAAUUCAAAUGAUUCUUCACACGUGCAUGCGGAAAAUGUAUAAGUUUCCACGGAUGUUCUUUCGAUUUUUUUGAAACUUUGGAUAUAGCUUUGCUCUUUUUUAAAUACCGAGCUCGCCAGAGCUCGGGCGCUAUUGACACUUUCCCAAGAAUCAUACAUUGUAUGCAAAAAAACAAAGAAAAAGGAACUGCAUGGGGGCAUGCACGUAGUCACAACUCACAAAGGCAAGACGCAAUAAUGCAUGGGACAUGCAUGUAGCCCCGUCGGCAGCCCCGGCAUGCACCAUGAACAUAUAUUGCCCUCUUAGAUAAAAGAUGGCAAACAAUUUAACAUAUUUUAUCUGUAACAAUUUUUCACAAAAACUAAAACGUAUAGAUAAGCAGUACCAGAGAACUCAGCCGAAGAGCUGGGCAAGGAAACAGCAGAGUCCACACCACGUGAAGAACCAAGACCACAUAAAGAAUCGGCUACAAUAGGGGAAGAAACAAAUAACUAAUUACAUAAAAUAAAUAAAUGAAAGACUGAGACAACCCAAUCCGAACCAAGCAAGGAAAGAACCCACGCAUACUCACCAACAGCGCCAUCAACAGGACGCUUUCCCAGUCGGAUCUCUUUGCGCCGCCGACGCAAAUCAGCGGCAGAUGAACUCUAACCUCAAACCCCUACACGGAACAUCAAGGCAAAUACCUUAAUUACUUGACGUGACUAACCAGAAGAUGCAGACCCAACGACAUGAUGAAUAGCUGGACGGCCUCACGUAGUAAAUCAUCAUCGGACAGACGACCGCCCACAGGAGGUCCCGAAAUGGACGCACCACGGCCUCGCCGAUCAUUACGCCCAACAACUAUCCCAUGGAUCCCACGUGGACAACCCGGACGACGGAGACGCAGACCGGUACGCCCAAUAACUGCGCCGCGAAUUCCAGGAGGACGACCCGGACUGCGGAGGCCACUUCGGCAAGGCCUACCACGAUCCAUCUAUGUGAAUGGAGAC
rnacentral:lncRNA from 1 species